GUUCUGGAAGAAAAUGUAAACGACGGUGGCAGCCAGGGAGUAGAGGAAGGCGAAGACAGCAACCGUGACGAAGAACUCAGCGGAAGAUGAGGAGUCACCAGUCAAUGCCAGCUUCUGCUGCUCCUUCCCCUCGCAGGAAGGUCGGUGGACCUGUACUCCCGUCUGCUAGAACUAAGAGAUCUCCAGCUUCCUUAUCUUCAGGUCACCAAUUCUCCAACUUCUGUGUGUCUAAAAAUCACAUGGGGACUUAGUAAAUGUCAAUCCUGGGCUCACCUGGCAGGAAUGCUGAGUAGGAAAGAAGAAAGCAGAGACAGAGGUUGAUGGGGCCAUGGAACAGACGGAACAUUUUCAAAGGACAGGACACACAUACAGAUAUGAGUGGGAUGUUUCCUUCUGACAUUCUUAGCUAUUACUAUAGCCAAAUUCCUUUGUUCUUUUCUAAGCACCUCAGUCUCAGUCUCUGUGUCUCUACUUCUAGGAAGGAAAACAGAUAAAAGAAAGAACCAGAACUUAUUUUUGUAACUUUGAAAAAAGCCAUGUUAACAUCCUUCUGGGGCAUAGGGCUUCUCCCAGGGAUCACCUGCCAAGACAGCUACAGAUCUUUGUCUCAGCAUGCUUCUGGGAGAACCCAAACUAAGGCAUCCUUCUAAGUCCUCAUCACCACUCACCUGUGGGGAAGUGUUGCAACACAAGUGCUCCAAUCUACACAGGCUGGGAGAAACUGAGGUCAAAGUCCAUGCUAGUAUGACUUCCAAUUGGAAGAGACCUACCAUGUAUGCUAAGAUACCAUGAACAGAGAAAAACAACUGUGGCUUCAUAUAUGAAAUCUGAAGUACAAACUGUAAAGGAAGAUGUUCUGAACUAAAGUUUGAGAGACAGAAGGACUUGUGUUCAACGUUUGGUGACCUAAUGAUGUUCAAAUCUUAAGCGACGGACCUUGAAGUCAUCUGUUCCUACCACUUUUUUUUUGGUACGAAAUCAUCGUAGAAGGCAAUGCAGACCGUGCAAUUUCACGACUAAUGUUACUAUGCAUGCUACCUCUCUUGUGCAGCCAUUGACAUUUCUUCUCACCUCUGCUAGAUCCCAGCCAUUGGUAGUUCUUGUCUCCUCCCCUAGAACCAGCCAUUCUGAUCUCCUAUCCUAGAUCCCACAUACUGAUCCGUGAGUGUGCAGUGGCUUAGCCUUUCUCCCUAAUAAACCAAGGAGUUCCUCCAGAACUUAGAAGUGUCAAGUACCCCCAACUCAGCCUCAUUUCUACCUACACGUGUAGCUCUUUACACCAAAUUACUAGGGGUUCUGUGCUUAGUAUUUCUGAGCCUUGCACUCUCUUAUUAGUGUGGAGUGUGUCUACUUGAGCACAGGUGUUUGCAACAUUUAUCAGUUCUACUUUUAAAAACCCUUUGGUAUGUUGGUAUCAAUGCCACUUCCCAUGAUUCAUUGCCUCUAAGCGGAGGCACUUUUGUUUUAGGCUAGGGAAAGUCCACUAAAUCAAUAUAACAAGGAUGUGUUCCAUGAUAUACAGAUCCUAUGAGAUGCUCAGUGAGAAAAGGUGUCUGCGGUCAAAUGUAUUUGGGAAACAUUGUAUUUCUCUUGGUGAUUCGAAAUGGGCAUUAGAAAAGCAGAAUGCUAAGAAGUAUUUCUUAAACUUAUUUGACCACAUAAUUUUUAAAUGAUUCCCCACCCUUUCUCUCCCUCCCUCCUUUUCUUCAUUAAACAUUAAAUAUCUAGGGCUCCAUGGGAAAGAUUUUGGAAAACAUUGUACUCUCCUAUUUAAGAAGAGUUUUCAGGCAUCAAUUUAUACUUUUCUCUGUACUUCCAGAGCCAGCACCAUGUCUGGCACAAGGUGAUUACUCGAUAAAUGUGUGUUAAAUAGAAAUGAACAAGAGAGUGUUCCGAAACAUUGUGCUGAAAGUUGUUUUAAAAAAUAAUACCGGUUAUUUGAUGCCAAGUAUUUGGGAGUUUUACAGAAAGAAAUUAUUUUAAAAUUGAAUUCAGUUCAUCCACUUGGGUAUAUGGGUCAGAAUCACAAGAUAUCCAAUGUGGAAAAAGCCCUGGUAGGUGUCUAGUCAUCUACCAGACACAUAUAAGGUACCUUUCAGACUGAAUUUAUAAAGAGAUUGAAAGAAUGAUCUCAGGCAAUUUAAGUAUAGCCAUAGAAAUAUGAGAUCUGGGCUCAACCCAGGGAGGCUCAACCUUGACUGCCAUGUACUGGCUGAGGAAUGUGGGCAAAUGUGUAUGUGCCUCACUUUCCUCAUUUGUAAACGUUGAUAGUAAUUGUCCUCUCUUCAAAAGGACUGAAUGAGAUAACCAAGUAAGCAGCUAAGUAUAGUGUCUGGCAGAUGGAGGCAAUAUUAGAUAUUAAUAUUAUUAAAGGCAUUAUCAAACAAGAUUGCACAGUCAACAUGAAAUUAGAGGUGACACUAAUCCUAGAGAGAAUUUGGAAGAACUUAAGAUAGGAAAUAAGCAUGGGGAGGAGGGAAUUAUGUAUCUGAGGUCUCCUACUGACAGCUCUGAAUACUGGGCCAACAGUAUCAAUGUUUUGGAGAAGAAUCAGUAGGACUCACAAAUCCUCCCCGAGUGGGGUGGCAGGUGGGCAUUUACUCGUUCUGGUGUUCUGUGGGCUCAGACAGACUCCUCUCUGUUAACCCCUAAGUCUCUAGAAAACUGCUUAUCUUUUGAGAAACCACAGAAAGAAGAAGGUGCCUUCUCUAUGAGCACGAGCCGCCGUUCCCUACCUGAAUGGGUAGGCAAAUGCUAUGUCAAUGCUGAGGUUACUUUCCGUCUUGUUGGCACAGUCCACACUCAGCCGCAGGCCUCCGGAAUAGCCACCGCAUGUUGCAAACGCAAAGAUCGCAAAAAGCUGUGGAGAACAAAGAAGCAAGAAAGAAGAGAGUCAUCGGAAUGAUGCUAAUCCAGUGAAAUACAUCAAUCAGAGUUCAGUGUCUGAAUUGGGAGAGGUUACGUUCUUCCGAAAUGUGGCAUUGUGUUUGGUUCAGGCUGGGAGAUGGAAGCCAGGAGGAGGAUGGGGACCGCGGAGGUGGUGUUUGAAAAACUAGUCCGGCAAACUGGUGUAACUUUGCUUGGAGAAAAACUGAACAGGAGGAGAAAAUACCCGUGUUUGACUGUGUAACGAGCCGUCGUGCCUCAGAAAGUAGAGAUGUAAUCUCACAUCAAAGGAUCUGGAAAAUUACACACUAAGGGAUUAAUGACAGAUAUCUCCAGUAAAACAGCAUUGAUAACAACUCCACUGGGUCAUUCUGUGAUUCAUCAUAUAAAACAGAAAGUUGCUGUGGACAAGAAGGCUGCUGGAACUGGCAAUGUCACCAAGUCUAUUCAGAAAGUGAAGAAGGCGAAGAUCUGAGGAGGCGUUGAGAAGCUACCGCAAUCCCCAUUGCAAGCUGGGGCUCGUACACACGGAACACCACAGCUGAAGGGAACAUGAGUUUUAUUCCUGUGGCAUGCAUCUGCUCACUUCUCAGGACCGAAUGCUCUCUGUCAGCUCUUACUGUCGGGAACUUGCUGUCUAUCUGGAGAUACAGACAACUGAAUGAAAAGGCACUCUGACAGUGUUUUACUGUGUAACUGGAACACACUAGAGGAAAAUAUAGCACAUAUUCUAUGGUACAUAUGGUAUGUGUUUGCAGAGGAUUGGAGGAGACAUGAGGACCAGCUGUCUGCAGAAAUGGAUAGCUAAGGAGAAAUCAGGAGAGCAUGCCAGAUUUAUCCAAGUAAGAGGGAGAAGAAGAGUGUUCUAAGUAGAGACAGCAGCAAGUCAAAGAAAGAGCCUCAAGUGAGCAAGUGACGCACAUUUGGGCUGUGCAGUUGGCACAGCUGGAGCAGACACUGCAAGCUGGGAAGAAAGGAGCUGACUGUUCAAGAGGUAGGCAGGGACCAUCUAGCAGGGAUCAGAAAACUACGGCCCCCGGGCCGAAUCCAGCCAUAUCCAGUCACCUCUAUUCAUGGAUGUAUACCUGUUUUUACACUACAAUGGUAGAAUUGCAUACUGACAACAUAGAUCCUGGUCCACAAAGCCAAACAUAUUCACUAUCUGGCCCUUACAGAAACAGUCUGUCAUUGCAAAGAAACUCGGAUUUUAUGAGGGGAUUGGGAUUUCAGCAGGGGAGAGGCACGACAAAUUUGCAUUUCAGACCUGCCUUUGUGGUGGUUGCCAUGGAGAGUGUGGACUGAGACAGGGACGGACUAGGGUUGGAAGACCAGUAGUGUCUUACUUCUCUGAGGUCUACAGACCCCGUGCCAAGAGGACCAUGUCCCAGUUUUCUUUAUGUCACUCGCUGCACCAAAACAUCAUACACGGCUCAUCAAUGUUACCAAGUGAAUGAAUAUAUGAAUGAAUGGGCAAGAGAAGAUGAGAGAAACCCGUAUUUUGACACUGAAAACAGUAGUAAACAUUAUGAUGAUAAUUGUAACAAUAAAACAAUUAUAUUUGGUUCUCUGUGCCCAACUCUUCAGUAAGUAUAUUAUUUACUUUGGUGUAUUUAAUCCUCUUAACAAUCCCCUGAAGUAGAGACACAAUCCCCCAAUCCCUCAUUUUAUAGAUGAUAAAACUGAGGUUAAACAGCAUGCCCAAGGUCACACUGGUUUUUUGUAUGUAAAGUAGUCAUGGUUUGAACUCAGAUCUGCCUUUCUCUAAAGUUUAUCUUCCUCCUUCUCAACUUUCCCAGGGCUGUGACAGGGGUCUCUCUUGGCCAGCACAUGCUUUGGAAAGACUAAUACAGAAAUGUCAGUGAUGGGCAUUUUAAGGUGUUCUCCAUCACAUCGAUACUCAGAAAGCCAAAUGAGGAUUAAAGAAAGCAUCCAUAGGACAAAGCCCUGAUCAUCAUAAUGGAUGCCAGUGGUAGCUCAUGUAUUUUGCUUCAGCAAGCCAAACCUUCUCCCUGCAGCAUCACAGGCCACCAGGGGAAGGGAGUCAGAGUCUGGCAUGACAGGAACACUUCAAAAGCUUGUUGUGAGUAAGGCUCUGUCAAUUACACUGCCCAAGUCCCUCCUACCUGUUAGCCACAGCAGGGCUGGUGGCUUGCUCACUUUCAUACAGCGUCAUCAUUCAACAGUUUAUAGGUUUGAAGGGACCCAAUUCCCCUCCUCCACUUCCUUUGAUGAACCCCUCUUUCCCCUUCUCCUUUUAGGAUUUAUCUUGGCCUGAUGAGCCAUUUGUCCCAAGAACCCCUGAAGAGCAUUUCUGGGAACACAGUUGUUUAUAGGAGCUGAUUACACCACAACAGUAGCCCCGGAAAAACGAAGAAUACAUAUUGUCAAGUUAGUUUCUGGUGCAGAACGAGUUUUUGAUGAACUGUGGCUUCCCUCAUACCCUACUUGCUACUCAGGAGGCCCCCAGGAAACGGAUGAACACCUUUAAAACUUAAUGUUCCAUUUCUUCUCAUCUUUGUUUAAUUCUUCUUUCUUUUAGUGUGUCUUCUCCUGCUGAUAAUUGGAUUUUUCCAAGAAAAUUGACCAAGCACCUUCUUUACUAUCAGUUUAUGGUUACAGCAAUAUUCUGACCCAGUAAGGUUCUGUGGAUAACCCUGUACAACCUCAGACAGGACAUUCAUGUGAAGAUAAAAACUGCAAGUUGUCCCUGGAAGGCAAUAUAAUUGGAUCUUAUUGGGAGGCACUGAAAGCUACUGUCAGAAAGCUUUCUUGGGUAGAGCUAUGUUUUCUCCUGUCGUUGUACAUAACUAUCCGUGUUCUUAACCAGCACCAGUACCUUCCAUACUGCAUUCCAUUUCACACCAUCUGUCAAAUAUUGGAUAGUGUGCCCUUCUAAACUUUGUGACUUGUGUAAAAUCCUCCCAGGCAAGAGCGGCCUCACAGAAUUGGUACUUCACACCAUUACCUGAGGAAUUCUGACCAGGUGCUGCAGAAAGAGAGCUCCAAAUUACUUAGACAGUAAAAGAAGUUUCUGUUUUCAUUGUCUUAAAUGUGCAGCCUGGAGACUGGAUCAGUUAAUAAAGUAUUUGGUCACAGAAAAUGGAAAGCUUGACCUAUAGUAGCUUAAACAAUAAAAGUUUGAUGACG